UGCCCGAAGGGUGACGAAGCGACGCCGCGUGGGUGAGGAAGGCCUUCGGGUUGUAAAGCCCUGUCAGGAGUUAAGAAAUGUAGACUCGCUAAUAUCGGGUCUAUUUGACAAAGGCUCCAAAGGAAGCCACGGCUAACUCUGUGCCAGCAGCCGCGGUAAUACAGAGGUGGCAAGCGUUGUUCGGAAUUAUUGGGCGUAAAGAGCACGUAGGUGGAUUUGUAAGUCAGACGUGAAAGCCUUCUGUUCAACGGAAGAAUUGCAUCUGAAACUACAAACCUUGAGUGUAGGAGGGGAGAAUGGAACUUCUGGUGGAGCGGUGAAAUGCGUAGAUAUCGGAAGGAACGCCGGCGGCGAAAGCGAUUCCCUGGCCUAUUACUGACACUCAGUGUGCGAAAGCUAGGGGAGCAAACGGGAUUAGAUACCCCGGUAGUCCUAGCCGUAAACGAUGGGCACUAAGUAGAGGGGU
rnacentral:rRNA from 1 species